CAAGAAGUGAAACAGCAGACAGAAUUGCAAACGAAAACAAGAGGCUCCAGAAAGAUGAAAAACCCGCACACACCUGUCUCUGAAGGUCUUAGAAGGACCUGAAGAAAUGAGAUUUUCCUCAUCAUCAAAGUGUGGGAGCCCUUUGAAGGAUGGGCAAUGGCUGCUGAGAAGAAUUCAGACUGGAGCUGUGGUCUAGAUGCAGCAACUGAGGAUAAUCAAAUAAAUGUGCUAUGUUGGACACUGUGACGGGAAGAAGAUGGAAGAGAGAGGAUGUGAGCAUGUAUAUUUGAAGACGAGGGAAAGAGUGGCUGUGGCAGAAAAAUCAACUCGUACACUGAGUGAGUCAUGUGCAGUUUUCCGGAGUACACAGACUCUUCACCUAUGGUUGGAUUCCCAGGGGACCAUGGUUCCUAAGUGCCUCAGGAUGUCAUUUUCGGGCGUCCCCUCCGCCCUUGGCACAGACUCCCACAGGCCCCCGACGAACUCGGAUGGAUCUUCGCCCUGGCCAGGAGCCCAGCCUAAGAGCCAGCCCGGACAGCGCUGCCCCUCCCCUCCAAGCGACAGCAUUGUGAAGACUGGAGAGCAAAACGGGUCGCCCACAAGGAAACUCCAGAAAGCGGGCAGUCAGAAGUGCUGCAGGGAGCACUUCCGGCACAGCCUCUGCGGGCGGUCAGAGGUGCGGGCGGUCAGAGGUGCGGCCUGGGGUCGCCGGCGGACUGUUCCCAUGCUUGUGAGUGUCGGGUUGUAGGAGUGGAGCAGCUUCUAGGAGUAGUGACUGGGUUGGUAUGACAGCCAGGGCUCUCACCUUUGAACCUCAAGUGAGUCCCUCCCUGAGGACCAAGCUGGGAGACCCAAGAAACACACUGGGCACCGCCCCUCUCUUGGCCGCUCCCACUUGAAUCAAGGCCACCAAGACCCUUUUCUCACCUGGAAAGGGCAAUCAGGCAGAUCUGAAGAUGGCCGUGCUGCUAGAGGAAAGUCUGCACGCCGCAGACUCAGCAGCACCACCCGCUUCACAGACCUCUGUACCUCCCAGGAAGUCUCUUACCGCCAACAGUUUCUCACCUCCUCUGUCUGGGUAUCGGGUCAGUCUCUUCAGAAAUAAACCGUGAAUGGUGUUUGUGACAGAGAA
rnacentral:lncRNA from 1 species